GAUGAACGCUGGCGGCGUGCCUAAUACAUGCAAGUCGAGCGAACAGACGAGGAGCUUGCUCCUCUGACGUUAGCGGCGGACGGGUGAGUAACACGUGGAUAACCUACCUAUAAGACUGGGAUAACUUCGGGAAACCGGAGCUAAUACCGGAUAAUAUAUUGAACCGCAUGGUUCAAUAGUGAAAGACGGUUUUGCUGUCACUUAUAGAUGGAUCCGCGCCGCAUUAGCUAGUUGGUAAGGUAACGGCUUACCAAGGCAACGAUGCGUAGCCGACCUGAGAGGGGUAUCGGCCACACUGGAACUGAGACACGGUCCAGACUCCUACGGGAGGCAGCAGUAGGGAAUCUUCCGCAAUGGGCGAAAGCUUGACGGAGCAACGCCGCGUGAGUGAUGAAGGUCUUCGGAUCGUAAAACUCUGUUAUUAGGGAAGAACAAAUGUGUAAGUAACUAUGCACGUCUUGACGGUACCUAAUCAGAAAGCCACGGCUAACUACGUG
rnacentral:rRNA from 1 species